UACGGGAGGCAGCAGUGGGGAAUAUUGGGCAAUGGGCGAAAGCCUGACCCAGCAAUGCCGCGUGAAGGAUGAAGGUCUUCGGAUUGUAAACUUCUUUGAUUGGGGAAGAAUAAAUGACCUACCCAAAGAACAAGUCACGGCUAACUACGUGCCAGCAGCCGCGGUAUAAGGGCGAAUU
rnacentral:rRNA from 1 species